rnacentral:rRNA from 1 species
UUGAACGCUGGCGGCAGGCCUAACCCAUGCCAGUCGAGCGGAUGAAGGGAGCUUGCUCCUGGAUUCAGCGGCGGACGGGUGAGUAAUGCCUAGGAAUCUGCCUGGUAGUGGGGGAUAACGUCCGGAAACGGGCGCUAAUACCGCAUACGUCCUGAGGGAGAAAGUGGGGGAUCUUCGGACCUCACGCUAUCAGAUGAGCCUAGGUCGGAUUAGCUAGUUGGCGGGGUAAAGGCCUACCAAGGCGACGAUCCGUAACUGGUCUGAGAGGAUGAUCAGUCACACUGGAACUGAGACACGGUCCAGACUCCUACGGGAGGCAGCAGUGGGGAAUAUUGGACAAUGGGCGAAAGCCUGAUCCAGCCAUGCCGCGUGUGUGAAGAAGGUCUUCGGAUUGUAAAGCACUUUAAGUUGGGAGGAAGGGCAGUAAGUUAAUACCUUGCUGUUUUGACGUUACCAACAGAAUAAGCACCGGCUAACUUCGUG